CAUACUGCAGUCGAGCGGACAGAAGGGAGCUUGCUCCCGGAUGUUAGCGGCGGACGGGUGAGUAACACGUGGGUAACCUGCCUGUAAGACUGGGAUAACUCCGGGAAACCGGAGCUAAUACCGGAUAGUUCCUUGAACCGCAUGGUUCAAGGAUGAAAGACGGUUUCGGCUGUCACUUACAGAUGGACCCGCGGCGCAUUAGCUAGUUGGUGAGGUAACGGCUCACCAAGGCGACGAUGCGUAGCCGACCUGAGAGGGUGAUCGGCCACACUGGGACUGAGACACGGCCCAGACUCCUACGGGAGGCAGCAGUAGGGAAUCUUCCGCAAUGGACGAAAGUCUGACGGAGCAACGCCGCGUGAGUGAUGAAGGUUUUCGGAUCGUAAAGCUCUGUUGUUAGGGAAGAACAAGUGCAAGAGUAACUGCUUGCACCUUGACGGUACCUAACCAGAAAGCCACGGCUAACUACAUGCCACCACCCGCGGUAAUACGUAGGUGGC
rnacentral:rRNA from 1 species